GGCCAUUAUGUAAUUAGCCAAAAUAUAAAAUGAUCUUCAGUAAUUAAUUUGGUGGCUAAUGGCAUAUGUAUCAUGAAAUAAUAAUAAGUGUAGAUACCUUCAGACAAUUUCUGAUUUGAUGAAGGGACUGAAUCAGAAUUAUUGCAACUAAAGUAGUAACCACUAUGGGUUACUUUUAUGGGUUAUGGUCCCCAUUUGUAGAGCAACAGAUUUUCAAGUGUAAAGGUGGAGGAGAAUAAGGUAGGAUGAGAAUAGUGUUAUCCAUGAUGGGAUAACACUAUCCACUCAUCCAUAAGGCUUAUAAGGNUCUAUCAUCUGGAAGAUCAUCUUACCCUCAUACCUUCGAGAUUCCAGAAAUGGCUCAACAAGUAUGUUCUUCAUCUUCACUAUGAACUCAUUUGUGGUUUCUUCGGUCUGGACCAUGGAUGUUCCAUUUGGGUGUAUGUAUGGGCAUACACAUUCGGUUGUGGGAACAAAGCCAUGGUCAUAAGGACUUCUGUAUUUACUCUAUGGAUUACGGAUGGAGACUAAUUUCUCCAACAGUUGAAUGAAAAAAUAAUAAUUAUGUAUUCCAACACCAGCAUAUCUCCUAAAUCAAAAAAUUUGUAUUCGGACA
rnacentral:lncRNA from 1 species